rnacentral:rRNA from 1 species
UACGGAGGAUGCGAGCGUUAUCCGGAUUUAUUGGGUUUAAAGGGUGCGUAGGCGGACUGUCAAGUCAGCGGUAAAAUUGAGAGGCUCAACCUCUUCCCGCCGUUGAAACUGGUGGUCUUGAGUGGAUGAGAAGUACGUGGAAUGCGUGGUGUAGCGGUGAAAUGCAUAGAUAUCACGCAGAACUCCGAUUGCGAAGGCAGCGUACCGGCAUCCAACUGGCGCUGAGGCACGAAAGCGUGGGGAUCAAACAGG